rnacentral:lncRNA from 1 species
CACAAUCAUGACAUUGAGAUACGUCUUAAUCGACUGUUAAACUGCUAAAGCAAGCUUUAACAUACUUGAACAAGGUAUUGUAAAAUCUGAAGAUUGAUAAGAAAAAAAAAUGUUUACUUGUUUAUUGAAAUCACAAUAAAAACUGAAUUAGGAGUUUAAGUUAACAAAGAUGCCGUUUAGAUUAUUCUUGAUGGUUAACACUUUGAAUAUAUUACUGCCAGCAGAAGGAAAUGUGAAGUAUAUUUUCUGUUUGUCUUGGUCUGGAUUAGCCUGAGCACGGCCGUGAUGAAGCUGGAUCUGAGCUGCAGUGUUUGGGUUCUGGCCGUUGGUUUGCUGCCGUUGGUCCGAAUCACUGCCGGAUCCAUUUUGGGCGCAGCUGUUAACAUUGAGCUGUUUGACCAGGACAGAUCGCAGCCGGUCAGGGCUCAUUACAGCGUGGUGUCCAAUUUGCCCUGUCCAGCUCUGAAUGAGCUGUGUAACGGAGGAGACUGCGUGGAUCAGCUCAGCUCCUCUCCUCUGACAGGGGCUUUACCGUCACCCGGCUGGUGUCUUCAUCAGUGGCAGAAGAACAUCCCUGAACACCACACAUCUGCUCUUCAGCUCAGAUCUGACAGAGCCGUGACACUGGAUUCACGAGCAGAUCUGUCUGUCAGAGCCGACACUAACCGUGUUAACCAGCCUCCAUUUGUGGCUCUUCCUCCUCCAGUCAGGUUACAAGCUGCUUGUCCUCAAGAAAUUCCGGUGAAUGUGAUGGAUUUGGAUGGAGAUGAGAUUCGCUGCCGUUAUAAGAAGACUGAACUUGGUGAAUUUCUGCAGCUUAAUGAAGAGACAUGUACACUGCUGUAUGAAGGUAGAGCUGGUUUGGGUCAGUAUUCAGUUCUGAUCAUGGUGGAGGAUUUUCCUUCAUCUGACAGAGAGGCCGAGCCGUUCUCCACUGUACCUCUGCAUCUCCUAAUAACAGUUGAAAGCGGAGCUGGCUGCUCAGUUGUGCCGGAGUUCACAGGCGUCAGUCCAGCAGGAGGCGCUGUAAUCCACGUACUGCCCUUUGAGGAGGUCCAUGUCAACAUUACAGUGGACUCAAGAGUACAGAGUGUGUCUGAAAUUGCUGUGACUGGUCCGCCGGGCCUCUUCAUAUCAUCAAUGCCAGAGCUUCUACAGCUCCGUCACGCUGUCCUGGGUCCGAGGUCCGAAUCAGUUCACCCAUCUGCUGUCUGUUUGUUUCGCUGCUAAUACUCCAAGGUACUCAGCAAUUAACUCGUAUUCUUCAUAAAACAAAUUUACAACUGACAGCUCAGUUAAACU